AUGUGUUAUUUCAUAGUAUUGAUGUCUUCGAUAGUAUUCUACAAUGUAGAAAAUAGUAAAAAAUAAAGAAAAGCCCUUAAAUGAGAAGGUGUGUCCAAAGUUUUGUGUGUAUAUUCUCUUGUAAAGGAUCCCAGGGGCUCCAAAGUCCUCACAUUUAGUUUUUUUCAGACAGGUUGAAAUGUAGAAUAGGACUCAGAAUUUAGAGGGAACAGGUAGAGACGGUGGUAGGUGAGGCUCCCACACAAAUCAUAAUUUGUUUAUCAUUUAUCUUGCCCACCUUUUCCAUUGAAGUCCUCACAAAAACUCACUCUUUCUCCCCGUCCCUCCCCACAGGCAUGUUCAGCAUCUCCCAGAUGAAAAACAGACCCAUGAUCCUCAUCGGUGGGUGACGCGGCUACACCACACCCCAAAGGCCCCUGUCCCUGCCCAAGUCCAGAGCCUGCCAGUGGUCCUCCCUCCCCUCGUCUAUGUUCCAGAUCCUGCAGUCCUCACCUCAGCUAAGGCCCUCCAACUGUACCACUCCAGAAGUGGAAGUGGCCAACCCAAUAAGGAUGCAUCGUGCCAUUCCGGCUACACAGUUUUAACAGUGCUGCCUGAUGUCAGCUGUUCGGGAACCCACCAGUGUUGAAGGAGCCCUCAGUGCUUCCAUAUUGUCAAAAGAAUCCUUUACAGUGGUGCCACUGGCCCCGCAGAGAAUAUGGGAUUGAUGACUUACUGACAACCCCCAGUUCUCAAACCAAGGCUGCUGAUUCUGACAUGCACACAAAUGCAUUGAGUCACAAUGACAUAAACUGUCUCAGGUACACACUUUCCAGGAAUCCAAACUUAAUAAAGAAUGCCUCUACAAGGAGCCCUGAGAUUCCCUCCCUUCGCACACUACUGAGAAACGCUAAAACAGGGCCCCACCUAAGCCAGCAUAGCAUAAGGCAGUGCCACAGACAAACCUCCAGAGAUGACCUCCAAGCCAAACUUAAAACAACACACACAACACACCCACCCCCACACACUUGGGGGUGGGCGCAAAUUCCUCUGACUCCCCCCAAGCCGGACAACACCACCACUGCCCUACUGACCCACACAGAUGCCUAAAGCCAAGCCUCCAUGGAGGAUGUGGGCAGCAAACCCCCACACACAUCGAAGCACCACAGCUACCAGUCACCUGGGCCCCACUGCCUUCCGCCUGCUCUGGAACAACCAUUUAGCCAAGGGUGACGCAGGCAACAUGGGCACACUCAUCCCGCUUUGCAACCUGCCGCCCUUAGACCGGUCCUCUGUCGGCUUCGACCUCGAUGCCAUGCGGCUGUUGUUACUGCGACCGCCUAGGCUGUACUAGCCUGUGAUAUCCAGAUGGAUACGCUGACUGCGGUCACAGUGGCAUCGUUGACGCUUUACGUCAUGUGCAAGGUGGUGAGUCACAACAUCACCAUCACAGACAUCAAGCUAGAUGAGCGGGGAAAAAGGACUUCAACGUGAGGCCUAACCACUAACUGGAAAAUGAUCUCCACAGCACCAGGUUUGGGGGUCAGUACAUAUGGUAAAGGGAUCAAUGGAAUGCAGACCAUAUCUAACAAAUUGGAUAUUCAUCAAAUCCGUCAUUAUUUAUAUUUAAUAACAGGCCCACAAUGUGGUAACUAAAAUCUGAAUUUGAUAUAUUUGGAUGUUUUUGCUGUAUAUCUAGAAGUUGUUCUUUUCGGGUUUAGAACUAAAUGCUUGUGUAAACUGGUAGCAUAGCAUGCCAUAUAGAAAUCAGUGGUGGUAGUCAUUUUUAAGUGUAAUGCAAUUAAUUGGUGACGAUGACAUGAACUUAUUUACAAGCAUUAUACUCUGAUUUUUACCCCAACAGUGUGAAAUACACAAACAAUAGCCAACAUUUUGAUGGCCGCCAUUGCAGAAAUUCUGGGUCUAUGAGCAUAGGGGGGAACACAUGCGUGGUUGUUUUAAUUUAACUCUUACCUGAUCUAUACAAAAAAAAAAGUUGGUUUAACACAGGUGGUGAAUUGAUAACUACAUUUCCCAAGUUGACUGAAUAAAAAAUGAAAUUGACCCCAAACCUGCAUGGUAAAUCUCCUUUCAAAAUCUCACUUUUUUUUUGAGGAUCAGGAAAUGCCUCACUGCAAGUAAUCUACUGAUGAAGUCCAUCUUCAUCCACUGAUGAAGUCCAUCAUCUUGUCUGGCUGGUAGGCUGUGCCAUGACUUGCUGAUCAGUAUUGGUCCUUCCAUUGUACCAGAUUCUUAUGAUCAGAAAUGUUUAUCUGUACAGUACAUCUGCAGACCUGCCAACCUGCACACAUUUUUUCUCCAAAUCAGUGCAGAUGAAGGAAUGGCGACAAGGAAGCUACUUUUGUGAUACACCCAUAAUGUUGAGGCUACAGUCCUUUUUGGGAAAGAAAAUAAAUAUGGACUAGGGCAGGGAUCAUCAACCAGCUGCGGGAUGAUUUUAUUUUCUUGAGCGGAUUGUCGGGGUCCCGGAACAUUAUUACAAAUUAUUUGUCGACUGCAAGUAGCCCAAACCGACACCUGUAUGUUUGACUAAAACUGAAUCAUUUCAAACACGAAUACUUGAACAGAUUUCUUAAAUAAAAUCACUUGGAGCUGAUUUUUCUGGUGUUUUUAUAGUCCAACAAUAAAUUCCACACAUUUUGGGCUCAAACUAUUUUAUUUUUCAAAUAAAACCAUUUGGCCCACGGGCCGCCAGUUGGGGAACCCUGGACUAGGGUGUGCGUUAACCUCUCAAACACCUGUGAUAAGACAAUCGGAGUCAAUUACUGUUUGUUGCCUCAUGUUCUAAGGCAAGUGUCAAACUCAUUCCAUGGAGGGCUGAGUGUCUGCUGGGUUUAGCUCCUCCCUUGUACUUGAUUGAUCAACAAGGUCACUGAUUAGUUGGGAACUAGUCCCCUUACCUGGGUGUCUAGGUCUUAAUUGGACACAAAUUGAAAGUAAAUAAUGAUAAUACACUCGGCCCUCCAUGGAAUGAUUUUGACACCCAUGUCCUAAGGUUACACUAAAUUAAUUUGAUAAUUUCACACAGUAAAGUGCUGUACACUGAUUGUUGAAUAUAUCCAAAGUUACUAAUUGUUAUCUUUUCUAUGUUCAUUAUUAAGCACUGUGCCUUUGGAAUACUAAUUAAAUAAACAAUCUAAUAUGUAAA